CUCUUCUCCAAAUGAAGUCUUUUCAAAUAGUAAAAACACAAAAGGAAGGCUAAAGAAGUCCUUUAUAAACUAAUAUAAUUCAGUUCAGCAGAAAUAUUGUUAAGCU